AUGAAGACUCCGAACAGAAGUUAAGUCUGACAAAAGGAGCAAAAGUCUCCUCAUAGCAAUACCAUACUCUUGAGUAAAAACCUUAGCAACCAGACGAAGCUUUGUAUCGUCCCACAGUACCAUCAGCUCGAGUCUUAGAUCUUAUAAAUCCAGCCGACACCAAAUAAUAAAUUUGCCUAGGAGGAAGAUCAACAAGGUCCCAAGUGCAUCUCGCGUCCUACAAGAGCCUAUAGUUCCUCAGCCACUAGCUUGCUGCCAAAGGGGUUAGUACUUGCCUCACGAUAGGAGCGAGGCUCAUAUUGGGCUUUAAGACAGUAGAAAAACAAUGAUGUCGCGAAGAUAAGAAGGAACUUUCCUUACCCGAGUGGAACGACGGACAGGAAUGUCAAUUUGUAGGUAGAGACCGGAGGCCGAGCUGGAGGUUGUGCAAGAUCAGUGACAAAGACUCCACGGGAUAGACAAUGGCGGGUGGGCACAUGGAUAGUAUCAUCAGGAGGCGUCGCAGGAAAGAACAUCAACAUCUCAGGGAAAGAUCAAUAAAGGAUAGUAAAAAAAGGUGGUAGGAAGAAGUGGAAGAAUGGAAGGAAGGGGCAUCUGAAAAGAGGACAGAGCGAGAAAACAUCUUAUGUUCUCAAAGACAACGUGACGAGAUACUCGAAGACGACGAGACAAGGAUGCCCAACAACGAUAGCCUUUAUACUAAAUUCCAUACCCCAAGAAGCAACACAGACGAGACCUAGGCUCUAGUUUUAGUGCGCUCAUGUGGUUGUAAAUAGAACAAAACAGGCACAACCAAAGACACGACGGAAAUGAUAAUCGGAAGCGAGUCCCAUUAGACGCUCGUACGGAAAGUGAGAUUCCAGACGGGGGACGGGAACUCGAUUAAUAGAAUAGCAAGCGGUGAGUGAGACAGGCUUCCCCCCAAAAUGCGCUCGGGACAACUAGAGAAAUUGUAGAGCCGAGUAGUAUCAAGUAAACAUGACGGUGUUUACGUUCUGCCCGCCCAUUUGUUGGGAGUACCAGGACAAGAUCGGGGGGAAGAGUGCCUUGGUCUCGUAAUAAAAAGGCAAGGAAGGAGGGUAUCACAGUAUUCUUGAGCAGUGUUGGGCGGAAGACUUGGAUAACCGGGAAAAUUGGGUUUUGAUUAUCGAGCAAAAUCAUAAUAAGGUUGUUGUAAUUGGGAUCGAUUCUUUAAAAGGUUAAAGCCAAGUAUAUCGGAGAAAUCAUCCACAAAUAUAACAAAAUAAUGGGAACCUCCCAUAGUAGAAGUGGGAGAUGAGGAGAAGGGCCCCAAAUAUCAGAAUGAACUAAAGCCAAAGGGGCGCAGAGGAGACAGACGUGCUUUUAGUAAAAGAUAACGCAGUGUGCUUAGCAAGUUGACAAGACUGAAAAUCAAGGGUGUUCAUAAUAGUGGGACCUAAAACACCUUAGAGACUAAGAAAACGUAUCGACCCAACGAAAUAUAUUUACCUAAACGAGGAAGGCAAAAAGGGAAAGCGAGGGGGCAGAAGAAGAGGGGGGGGAGAAGGGGAUUCGGAUGACCGGGGCAAAAGUAGAAAUAGGAAGGUGAAGAUGUAGAGCGAAACAGGCGACCAUACAUACGGCUUUAUUCCCAAGAGUUCGACCCGUCCGCGGGGUCCGCACAACACAACCAGUGGAAGAGAAAUAGUAUAGUAAGCCAAGAUCACAUAAUUGACCAACAAAAAUAAAGAUUAGUGCAAGCAGGUUACGGACGUUAGUAGGUAUUGGAAGAGAUUUUAGAGCGGAGGAAGUGCGAGACAUGCCCAAUAUGAUCAACAGUCAUAGAGGAACCAUGUCAGCAGUAUGAACAAUAGGAAAUGAAGGACUCUAUAAUGAUUUAGAGGGGAGAAAACAGAUAAAUCAGAGGUAAUAUGAUUACUACACAGAGUCGGAGACGUAAAAAGCCAGGAAGAUAUACAUGUAGAGGCAGACAAGGCAGUAGAGUAGAGAGUAGAAGCAGUAGAGGAUUUACCGGAGGCUGACAUAAUCUGCUGAACAGAGCAGGAAGAUCACUGACAUCGAUCAGUGUAGGAGAGGCGAAAGCAGUAGGGACACACCAGCAGUGGCAGCAGUAGACUGAGGGCGAUGUCUCGACGGGUUAAUUAUUGGACAGUCGGACCUAUAAUGGCCAGGUGCCUCGCUGGCGACAGAUUUUGCAAACCCGAAUAGGACAAGAGUGAGCAAGCGAUGGUCAUUAAGUAGCAUGACAGAAUGUGCACUCAUUAGGUCGAGAGCUGAACCACCAGAAGAUUGAGAACUAGAGACUGUAAAACUGCGAGACCACCAGAGGAGCCACGUCUCGGAACCAGGAGUAGCAAAAGCAGGUCUGGCCACAUGGGACGUACGAGACAAGGCCAAGACGAGUCUCUUCAGAUAACAACUCAGAGAUACCUGCUCCAAGUAGGAGAGGGCUGCGAUGAGGAGGGAUGCUCGAAUCGCUCAUAUAUUCAGAGAGUCCCAUAAGAACAGAAUACGCGCU
rnacentral:lncRNA from 1 species